rnacentral:rRNA from 1 species
GUGGGGAAUUUUGGACAAUGGGGGCAACCCUGAUCCAGCAAUGCCGCGUGCAGGAAGAAGGCCUUCGGGUUGUAAACUGCUUUUGUACGGAACGAAACGGUCCUGGUUAAUACCUGGGGCUAAUGACGGUACCGUAAGAAUAAGCACCGGCUAACUACGUGCCAGCAGCCGCGGUAAUACGUAGGGUGCAAGCGUUAAUCGGAAUUACUGGGCGUAAAGCGUGCGCAGGCGGUUUUGUAAGACAGGCGUGAAAUCCCCGGGCGCAACCUGGGAAUGGCGCUUGUGACUGCAAGGCUGGAGUGCGGCAGAGGGGGAUGGAAUUCCGCGUGUAGCAGUGAAAUGCGUAGAUAUGCGGAGGAACACCGAUGGCGAAGGCAAUCCCCUGGGCCUGCACUGACGCUCAUGCACGAAAGCGUGGGGAGCAAACAGGAUUAGAUACCCCAGUAGUCC